rnacentral:rRNA from 1 species
UGAGGAAUAUUGGACAAUGGGUGCGAGCCUGAUCCAGCCAUCCCGCGUGAAGGACGACGGCCCUAUGGGUUGUAAACUUCUUUUGUAUAGGGAUAAACCUACCCUCGUGAGGGUAGCUGAAGGUACUAUAUGAAUAAGCACAGGCUAACUCCGUGCCAGCAGCCGCGGUAAUACGGAGGGUGCAAGCGUUAUCCGGAUUUAUUGGGUUUAAAGGGUCCGUAGGCGGACCUGUAAGUCAGUGGUGAAAUCUCACAGCUUAACUGUGAAACUGCCAUUGAUACUGCAGGUCUUGAGUGUUGUUGAAGUAGCUGGAAUAAGUAGUGUAGCGGUGAAAUGCAUAGAUAUUACUUAGAACACCAAUUGCGAAGGCAGGUUACUAAGCAACAACUGACGCUGAUGGACGAAAGCGUGGGGAGCGAACA